CGCGCCUCCUAAGCGUGAGAUACAGGUUCGAUUCCUGUCGGCGGGA
rnacentral:tRNA from 1 species